AGAGUUUGAUCAUGGCUCAGGAUGAACGCUAGCGGCAGGCCUAAUACAUGCAAGCUGAACGGUAAAUAUUGUAGCAAUACGAUAUGAGAGUAGCGUAAGGGUGCGUAACACGUAUGCAAUCUGCCCUGUACAGGAGGAUAGCUCGGCGAAAGCCGGAUUAAUACUCCGUAAUAUUAUUGAGAGGCAUCUUUUGAUAAUUAAAGUCGCAAGACGGUAUGGGAUGAGCAUGCGUCUGAUUAGCUAGUUGGUAGUGUAAUGGACUACCAAGGCGAUGAUCAGUAGGGGAACUGAGAGGUUGAUCCCCCACACUGGCACUGAGAUACGGGCCAGACUCCUACGGGAGGCAGCAGUAGGGAAUAUUGGUCAAUGGGUGAGAGCCUGAACCAGCCAUGCCGCGUGCAGGAAGAAGGCCUUCUGGGUUGUAAACUGCUUUUGCCGGGGGAUAAAAUUCCCAUGCGUGGGAAAUUGAAGGUACCCGGUGAAUAAGCCACGGCUAACUACGUGCCAGCAGCCGCGGUAAUACGUAGGUGGCAAGCGUUGUCCGGAUUUAUUGGGUUUAAAGGGUGCGUAGGCGGCCUAUUAAGUCAGUUCUGAAAUAUCCCGGCUUAACCGGGAGGGUGGGAUUGAUACUGAUGGGCUUGAGUGGAAUCGAGGUAGGCGGAAUUGACGGUGUAGCGGUGAAAUGCUUAGAUAUCGUCAAGAACACCGAUAGUGUAGACAGCUUACUAGACUUCAACUGACGCUGAGGCACGAAAGUGUGGGGAUCAAACAGGAUUAGAUACCCUAGUAGUCC
rnacentral:rRNA from 1 species